GACGAACGCUGGCGGCGUGCCUAAUACAUGCAAGUAGAACGCUGAAGGAGGAGCUUGCUUCUCCGGAUGAGUUGCGAACGGGUGAGUAACGCGUAGGUAACCUGCCUGGUAGCGGGGGAUAACUAUUGGAAACGAUAGCUAAUACCGCAUAAUAGUAGAUGUUGCAUGACAUUUACUUAAAAGGUGCAAUUGCAUCACUACCAGAUGGACCUGCGUUGUAUUAGCUAGUUGGUGGGGUAACGGCUCACCAAGGCGACGAUACAUAGCCGACCUGAGAGGGUGAUCGGCCACACUGGGACUGAGACACGGCCCAGACUCCUACGGGAGGCAGCAGUAGGGAAUCUUCGGCAAUGGACGGAAGUCUGGCCGAGCAACGCCGCGUGAGUGAAGAAGGUUUUCGGAUCGUAAAGCUCUGUUGUAAGAGAAGAACGAGUGUGAGAGUGGAAAGUUCACACUGUGACGGUAUCUUACCAGAAAGGGACGGCUAACUACGUGCCAGCAGCCGCGGUAAUACGUAGGUCCCGAGCGUUGUCCGGAUUUAUUGGGCGUAAAGCGAGCGCAGGCGGUUAGAUAAGUCUGAAGUUAAAGGCUGUGGCUUAACCAUAGUACGCUUUGGAAACUGUUUAACUUGAGUGCAAGAGGGGAGAGUGGAAUUCCAUGUGUAGCGGUGAAAUGCGUAGAUAUAUGGAGGAACACCGGCGGCGAAAGCGGCUCUCUGGCUUGUAACUGACGCUGAGGCUCGAAAGCGUGGGGAGCAAACAGG
rnacentral:rRNA from 1 species